rnacentral:rRNA from 1 species
AGUGAACGCUGGCGGUAGGCCUAACACAUGCAAGUCGAACGGCAGCACAGUAAGAGCUUGCUCUUACGGGUGGCGAGUGGCGGACGGGUGAGGAAUACAUCGGAAUCUACUUUUUCGUGGGGGAUAACGUAGGGAAACUUACGCUAAUACCGCAUACGACCUACGGGUGAAAGCAGGGGAUCUUCGGACCUUGCGCGAUUGAAUGAGCCGAUGUCGGAUUAGCUAGUUGGCGGGGUAAAGGCCCACCAAGGCGACGAUCCGUAGCUGGUCUGAGAGGAUGAUCAGCCACACUGGAACUGAGACACGGUCCAGACGCCUACGGGAGGCAGCAGUGGGGAAUAUUGGGCAAUGGGCGCAAGCAUGAUCCAGCCAUACCGCGUGGGUGAAGAAGGCCUUCGGGUUGUAAAGCCCUUUUGUUGGGAAAGAAAAGCAGCAGGUUAAUACCCCGCUGUUCUGACGGUACCCAAAGAAUAAGCACCGGCUAACUUCGUG